GUGUCAGCCGCCGCGGUAAGACGAAGGAUGCAAGCGUUAUCCGGAUUCAUUGGGUUUAAAGGGAGCGUAGGUGGACUGAUAAGUCAGUGGUGAAAUCUCUUCGCUUAACGAAGAAAUUGCCAUUGAUACUGUUGGUCUUGAGUACAGUUGCUGUGGGCGGAAUAUGACAUGUAGUGGUGAAAUACAUAGAGAUGUCAUAGAACACCGAUUGCGAAGGCAGCUCACAAAGCUGUAACUGACACUGAGGCUCGAAAGUGCGGGGAUCAAACAGGAUUAGAUACCCUGGUAGUCCGCACCGUAAACGAUGAUUACUCGCUGCUAGAGGGCAACUUUUAGUGGCUUAGCGAAAGCGAUAAGUAAUCCACCUGGGGAGUACGCCGGCAACGGUGAAACUCAAAGGAAUUGACGGGG
rnacentral:rRNA from 1 species